UACGAGGGGGGCGAGCGUUGUUCGGAAUUAUUGGGCGUAAAGGGUGCGUAGGCGGUUUGGUAAGUCUGAUGUGAAAUCUAUGGGCUCAACUCAUAGUCUGCAUCGGAAACUGCCGGGCUUGAGUAUGGGAGAGGUGAGUGGAAUUCCCAGUGUAGAGGUGAAAUUCGUAGAUAUUCGCAAGAACACCAGUGGCGAAGGCGGCUCACUGGCCCGAUACUGACGCUGAGGCACGAAAGCGUGGGGAGCAAACAGG
rnacentral:rRNA from 1 species